CCCUCUCCCAGCUGUGGCCUUCCGGGGCUGCUGCUGAUCCCUUGGCUGGCAAGUACCACAACCUUGUUCUACAGCUAGUUUUCACCUGGCACGUCCCACCACCCAACAUAGAUUGCCAGUUCCAUGGACGCGGGGAUUGCAACUUAGGUGAUUUUUGCAAACUCCAUUCCCAGAGCUUCGUUUUAAGAUAUGCCUACAGAUGAGGAUUGUAUAGUUUCUUUUCACUUUGAUGACCUUCCACAGUAAACUAAUUAUUUUAUUAGGGUCGCUGCAGAGCUGGGACAAGCCCCUGGGCCUCUGCGUUCUAACAUCCAUGAGCCUCAUGCGCCGACCAGAUCCUGGCAAGGACUAUGAGAUGACCUCGGAAAAACAUCACCAAGCGACUAGCACAGCGGCUCAGCACACA